GCCCGCAGCCGGCGGCGGAGCGGGAGGCAGGCGGCUGAGACGGGCGCGCCAUUUGCAUUCGCCCGCAGUCAUUUUUAUCCGCGGAGGAUUUCAAAGCCCCAAACAGAUCCACCCACUGAGGCGGCUGAGAAAAGGAGUUCGGCAGGUGCAGCGCUGUCAGGAGAUGAGACAAGCUAGACACACACCUGCUCUGAGACAGGGUACUUUCAGCAUCGAUCAACAGAAAACCUUGAGUCAACUUGCUAACCUGUGGGCUGACAUGGGGGCAGCCUUGUCCGGUGGGACCGUCCAAGACGAUGGGAGUGUCCAGUACGGCAGCCACGAGCCACGUGUGGCCAGUGAGCACUUGAAAUGUGCCAGCGUGACUAAGGAAGAUGAAGUCACGGAUCUGGAACACAGCGAUGCUCUCCUGUUGAUGAGAGCUGCCCCAGAGAAGAGUCUUCUGCUCAUGGUGUGUCCCAAGGUCAAAUGUGCUCAGUCAGUGCUUGUUGAUGGAUGCAUGGAAGCCUGGGAGGGAGGAGGGAGGUGUGGCCUCUGGAAAAGAUGUGAGAGAAAGUUUUCUGAAAGAAGGAUAAGAGUGGUAUCUGCACAUCUGAGCUAUGAAUUCCGCGUAGGAGACGCAUUUCCAUGA
rnacentral:lncRNA from 1 species